UGGCCUCCUGAGAAUCCGACAAGACGAAUGUCAGCCAUUAACCUCACAGUAGGUGAUGAAAAGAUAUUACUUUUUCUCCCCUAUACUACCCAAGCCAGCCACCUCAAGAAAGAACAGUUCAUGUGCAGGUGACCAUGUAGUUCAAGUCAUCAUUAAAUCCAAAGCUGAGCAGCCAUGAUGCUAUUGGUGGAAUUGCCCUUGACCAAGAGAAAUCCAUCUUGAUUGUCUCAAUAAUCGGCUCAAGGGCCAUUGAUGAUGAGGUCCUAAAUUUAAUUCCUAAUAAAACCCCUAAAGUUUUAGAGGCAAAAUGAGAAAGCAUAGCUCACAAAUGCCUUGUGACCAAUGACUUGCCCUCCAUUCUAGUAUUCAAGACCUUUUGCAACUCAGAAUGAGUGCAUCUGAAAUUCUCAGAAUUGGGAAAAACAUAGCAGAUUUGAAUUGGCAUAUAAUAGGAUUUGCCAUAAGGAACUAUCAGUGUUAGGGAGGAAUUUCUGCAUAGUUGACCCUUGAACAACAUGGAUUUUAACUGCACGGAUGCACUUAUACGUGGCUUUUCUUCCACCUCUGCUAACCCUGAGACAGCGGAACCAACCCCUCCUCUUCUUCCUCCCCCUCAGCCUAUUCAACGUGAAAAAGAUGAGGAUGAAGACCUUUAUUAUGAUCCACUUCCAAGUAAUGAACACACUGGAGAAAGUCAGACAGUCAAAACAAUGUCCCAGACUCCGUGAAGUUCCUGGGUAGAGAAGGAGACAGACAUAUACCAUACCUAAUAAUUGGAUGUCCGAGAGAAUGAGAGAAUGGCAGAAAGAACUUUAGAGCAUGGGUAUGAUGGCUAGAGCUUGAGCAGCCAUUGUGGACAUCAGAUGAACUUGAAAGUGAAAACUAUGAGCUGAAUACGA
rnacentral:antisense_RNA from 1 species